GCCGAGAUCGCAUAGCGGUAGUGCGCACGCCUGGAAAGCGUGUGGCUGAAAGGCCCCCAGAGUUCGAAUCUCUGUCUCGGCG
rnacentral:tRNA from 1 species